rnacentral:rRNA from 1 species
AACGAACGCUGGCGGCAUGCCUAAUACAUGCAAGUCGAACGAGAUCUUCGGGUCUAGUGGCGCACGGGUGCGUAACGCGUGGGAAUCUGCCCUUGGGUUCGGAAUAACAGCGGGAAACUGCUGCUAAUACCGGAUGAUGACGAAAGUCCAAAGAUUUAUCGCCCAAGGAUGAGCCCGCGUAGGAUUAGGUAGUUGGUGAGGUAAAGGCUCACCAAGCCGACGAUCCUUAGCUGGUCUGAGAGGAUGAUCAGCCACACUGGGACUGAGACACGGCCCAGACUCCUACGGGAGGCAGCAGUGGGGAAUAUUGGACAAUGGGCGAAAGCCUGAUCCAGCAAUGCCGCGUGAGUGAUGAAGGCCCUAGGGUUGUAAAGCUCUUUUACCCGGGAUGAUAAUGACAGUACCGGGAGAAUAAGCUCCGGCUAACUCCGUGCCAGCAGCCGCCGGUAAUAUCACGUGUA